GGUCAUAACUUUGAAACACCACUUCCCGUACGAUCGCCGAAGUUAAGAAACGUCGAGCCUGGUCAAUACCUAAGUAAUGGGUGACCUCUUGAGAACACUAGGUGCUGUAAG